rnacentral:rRNA from 1 species
GUGGCGAACGGGUGAGUAACACGUGGGUAAUCUGCCCUGUACUCUGGGAUAAGCCUGGGAAACUGGGUCUAAUACCGGAUACGACUGCCGGACGCAUGUCUGGUGGUGGAAAGUUUUUUCGGUUGGGGAUGGGCUCGCGGCCUAUCAGUUUGUUGGUGAGGUAAUGGCUCACCAAGACGACGACGGGUAGCCGGCCUGAGAGGGCGACCGGCCACACUGGGACUGAGACACGGCCCAGACUCCUACGGGAGGCAGCAGUGGGGAAUAUUGCACAAUGGGCGCAAGCCUGAUGCAGCGACGCCGCGUGAGGGAUGACGGCCUUCGGGUUGUAAACCUCUUUCGCCAGGGACGAAGCGCGAGUGACGGUACCUGGAUAAGAAGCACCGGCUAACUACGUGCCAGCAGCCGCGGUAAUACGUAGGGUGCGAGCGUUGUCCGGAAUUAUUGGGCGUAAAGAGCUCGUAGGCGGUUUGUCGCGUCGGCUGUGAAAUCU